ACGUGAUCUGAGUUCAGACCGGAGUAAUCCAGGUCAGUUUCUAUCUAUAGUGGAGCUCUUUCCAGUACGAAAGGAUCGAAAAAGCAUGGCCAAUACUUUAUGCAAGCCGUAGUUACCAACUUAUGACUUAACCUCAAUAAACUCAUAGCCCACCCCCGAGCUCAAAAAAAGAGC
rnacentral:rRNA from 1 species